rnacentral:rRNA from 1 species
GACGAACGCUGGCGGCGUGCUUAACACAUGCAAGUCGAACGGAAAGGCCCUGCUUUUGUGGGGUGCUCGAGUGGCGAACGGGUGAGUAACACGUGAGUAACCUGCCCUUGACUUUGGGAUAACUUCAGGAAACUGGGGCUAAUACCGGAUAGGAGCUCCUGCUGCAUGGUGGGGGUUGGAAAGUUUCGGCGGUUGGGGAUGGACUCGCGGCUUAUCAGCUUGUUGGUGGGGUAGUGGCUUACCAAGGCUUUGACGGGUAGCCGGCCUGAGAGGGUGACCGGCGACAUUGGGACUGAGAUACGGCCCAGACGCCUACGGGGGGCAGCAGUGGGGAAUAUUGCACAAUGGGCGGAAGCCUGAGGCAGCAACGCCGCGUGCGGGAUGACGGCCUUCGGGUUGGAAACCGCUUUCGCCUGUGACGAAGCGUGAGUGACGGUAAUGGGUAAAGAAGCACCGGCUAACUACGUG